AUUGAACGCUGGCGGCAUGCCUUACACAUGCAAGUCGAACGGUAACAGGUCUUCGGAUGCUGACGAGUGGCGAACGGGUGAGUAAUACAUCGGAACGUGCCUAGUAGUGGGGGAUAACUACUCGAAAGAGUGGCUAAUACCGCAUGAGAUCUACGGAUGAAAGCAGGGGAUCGCAAGACCUUGUGCUACUAGAGCGGCCGAUGGCAGAUUAGGUAGUUGGUGGGAUAAAAGCUUACCGAGCCGACGAUCUGUAGCUGGUCUGAGAGGACGAUCAGCCACACUGGGACUGAGACACGGCCCAGACUCCUACGGGAGGCAGCAGUGGGGAAUUUUGGACAAUGGGCGAAAGCCUGAUCCAGCAAUGCCGCGUGCAGGAUGAAGGCCUUCGGGUUGUAAACUGCUUUUGUACGGAACGAAAAGCCCCGGGUUAAUACCCCGGGGUCAUGACGGUACCGUAAGAAUAAGCACCGGCUAAUUACGUGCCAGCAGCCGCCGUAA
rnacentral:rRNA from 1 species